UACGUAGGGGGGCAAGCGUUGUCCGGAUUUAUUGGGCGUAAAGAGCGUGUAGGCGGUUUGGUAGGUCCGCUGUGAAAACUCGAGGCUCACCUCGAGACGCCGGUGGAAACCAUCAGGCGUAGAGUCCGGAAGAGGAGAGUGGAAUUCCUGGUGUAGCGGUGAAAUGCGCAGAUAUCAGGAAGAACACCCGUGGCUAAGGCGGCUCACUGGGCUGACCUUGACGCUGAGGCGCGAAGGGCGUGGGGAGGCGAACGGG
rnacentral:rRNA from 1 species